rnacentral:rRNA from 1 species
UACGAAGGGGGCUAGCGUUGCUCGGAAUCACUGGGCGUAAAGGGUGCGUAGGCGGGUCUUUAAGUCAGGGGUGAAAUCCUGGAGCUCAACUCCAGAACUGCCUUUGAUACUGAGGAUCUUGAGUUCGGGAGAGGCGAGUGGAACUGCGAGUGUAGAGGUGAAAUUCGUAGAUAUUCGCAAGAACACCAGUGGCGAAGGCGACUCACUGGACAUGUAUUGACGCUGAGGUGCGAAAGCGUGGGGAGCAAACAGG